rnacentral:rRNA from 1 species
AAGCUCGUAGUUGGAUUUCUGUUAAUAAUUUAUAUACAAUAUUUUAUUAAUAUUUAUAUAGUAUUAACAUAAUUCAUAUUACUAUUUUUUUUAUAGUAUGUGAAAUUUUACUUUGAGAAAAUUAGAGUGCUUAAAGCAGGCAUAUUAGCCUUGAAUACUCCAGCAUGGAAUAAUAUAAAAGAUUUUUAUCUUUUUUAUUGGUUCUAAGAUAAAAAUAAUGAUUAAUAGGGACAGUUGGGGGCAUU